UUGCCAGCAACCUAUUCUUCAGUCUACUUGCUAUGCAGCCCUAUCCUGCUGUGUCCCCGUGCUGCUCACCCGUCCCUGCCCCCUCAACGAAGGGUCCUCAUCAUGGCCAAGCUGAGUGCUGGAUGAGGUGUCAGAGCCCCCCCUCCAGCCUCUGCAGGGCUGGCCUGGAGAAGCACCUUGCUUUUGUCAGGCAGGUGAGCAGAUUUUGGCUGCAAAUACUGAAAAGAGGGUGUUUCAUUAAAAAAUGUCAGCUUUCUGGAGCAGUUCUGCAGAUAUAAAAUGUGCCUUAACCUUGCUGGACCAGUUGAUCUUCAGCACCUCAUUUUGCAAUGGGACAUCAACAUCCCCCCAAAGACACAAGAGUCCUUGGUCUUCUAUCUAAACCCAUGACUUACAUAAAUAAGCUGUCUGACCCCUUUUAAACCCAUGCUGCACCUCACUCCAGCCUCUUGCCUUCAACGACACCCGUGGAUCCCCCAUGCCACCUCCCACUGCCCCCGAGAUGUUGUGGUUACACUUGUGACAGGAGCCCCAGGGGCCACGUUGUUAGUGGCACGGCAGAAAAUGCUCCUACAGGAGAAUUUGGGUACAGAACCCUCCCGUGCGCAUGGCUGGGAGCACAACUCGUUUUGCAGGGUUACAAGCCGUGGGCUCACCUCGACCGCAGGAGAUUCGCCCAGACCUGGGCACCCCGGUGCAGGCUGCAGCUUGGGGCACAGAGCUGCCGAUCACUGGGGACCCAGACAUGACCUCGCUCCCAUGCACCGCAUCCCCAGCAAGCACCGCUACAUGCCCUGACACCUGUCACCUACCUUCUUCCACGGGUGCAGGGCGACGGGAUGACACUGCUCCCUCCGGCAUCUGCCGACUCCCAGCCGGAAUGAGUCAGGCUCCUUUCCCGGCCAGGCAGUGCCAGGGAGAAGGGACCCCGCGCCGGGAGAGCUGGAUUGUUACAGAGAGGAAGAUGUGUCUUCAUUCUCCUGCAGCCUUCUUUCUCCCCUGGCACAUCUCCUGCCAUUUGGAAGUACCCUGGUUGAAAGGGCAGGGAGAGCAAGCACCACCAGGC
rnacentral:lncRNA from 1 species